GCGAAAUUGACAGUAAUCUAUUUUUCACGAACAUCGUAUCCGGUCUACAGAGGCAAGCUUUAAAAUCAGCGAUCUCAUCCAGCCAACACAGGGUCGGCCAGAUGAAACAAAGACCCCGUAUUUGAUUCCUGCAAAUCAGCUAUCCUUCGUUCAUCUCCUUUGCCAGACGCAAGUUCCUUUCCAACUGUUAGAGGUACUUUUGAAGCUGUUCGUUAGAGCUCACAAGGCGCUGCUACCCAAGGGCUCGCAACAUGAUUUAAGUGGCUAGCGUCAUAAGCCGAAUGGAUGGAACAGCAAAGGUGCUUCACUGAUUAUACAGAAACGUAGUCGUUCUUUGAUUAUCAACAUUUUUUUGCAAUAGCGCAUAUGGUUUAAUUUGGGAAACCCCCGCAAGAGGGUUUAACCCGAAGCUUUGUCCUGAAAAUAUGGUUCGUUUCUGAUCAAAUUCAACUGUCCUUAACUAUAUCAAUAGUCAGUGACAAAUCCGUGUUAGAUUUGCGAAUAAAGAGACCGAAGUCUCACUGUAUUUAGUGGUUUCUAGAUCGUCAUGCGCUCUCCUCAACAAGCACCCAAAGCUGAGCUUAGAAAAGUAUAAGUGAAUAUAGCUGUUAGGUAUAGCUAUGAUUUGCCUAAUGAAGACAACUUGGACGUAUUUUAUAUAAAGAUUCAUCUUGCAGAUUUUUUUAAUAGAAAUGAUGGAAACUUUAUUAGGAAGGCUAUUGAUUUUAAUGUCUAUAUCAGACAGCUGCUCAUAUUGUGUCGCCAUUAUCCUAAAUUGUAGCUGGAGGAAGAUGGGGCUUGAUGGGCAGCCA